UGCAUUUGUAGGGUUUGGCUUUGAAGAUG
rnacentral:piRNA from 1 species